UACGUAGGGGCAAGCGUUGUCCGGAAUCAUUGGGCGUAAAGAGCGCGUAGGCGGUCCGGUAAGUCCGCUCUGAAAGUCCAGGGCUCAACCCCGGGAGGCGGGCGGAUACUGUCGGGCUAGAGUCCGGAAGAGGCGAGUGGAAUUCCUGGUGUAGCGGUGAAAUGCGCAGAUAUCAGGAGGAACACCGAUGGCGAAGGCAGCUCGCUGGGACGGUAC
rnacentral:rRNA from 1 species